rnacentral:rRNA from 1 species
GGGGGACAGCGGCAGGUGGGCGGUUUGGCUGGGGCGGCACACCGCCGAAAAGAUAUCGGCGGUGCCCAAAGGUCGGCUCAGGCGGGUCAGAAAUCCGCCGUAGAGUGCAAGGGCAAAAGCCGGCCUGAC